UUUUACUUUAGAAAGUGUCAGGCAUUUAUAGAAAUGUUUUUCAUAUACAAAUUUGGUUACGUAAAAUGUCUUGAAAAAACGGCGCUGCGUCGCACUUGCUCGGUGCCCCAGUGCAUUGCAGUUAUUUGCGCCAAAGUGUUCCACUUAAGCAGAGCAUCCAAAAAGCGCAUUUCUCUUCGCUGCAGUUCACGAGGUUUAAUCUACGAAAGUGACAAUCCCGAUAUGGAGAAAAUAUUUCAAAUAGCAAUCGACAAAGCGAACGAAGAGAGCGGUGGUGCGCUCGAAUUGCACGGCAUCGCUGUGGCCAUUGAACCUGGCAAUGCCUUCGAAACAUCAAAGAAACUCUGCAAAAUGUUGCGGCAAAAUCUAGUGGCCGUAUUUGGACCCACCACAGAUCUGGCCGCCAAGCACGCGAUGAGCAUUUGCGAUGCCAAAGAGCUGCCAUUCAUCGAUACACGCUGGGAUUUCGGUGUCCAAAUGCCAACAGUUAAUUUGUAUCCCCACGCCUCACAGCUGGCAGUGGCGCUGAAAGAUUUGGUGGUGGCGCUGGAAUGGACCGAUACCUUUACAAUCAUCUAUGAAACGGGUGAAUUUCUACCAACGGUAAAUGAAAUACUGGAAAUGUAUGGCACUACAGGGCCCACAAUUACCGUGCGCCGCUAUGAGCUUGACUUGAAUGGCGAUUACCGCAACGUGCUGCGACGCAUUAAAAAUUCCGGUGAUUACUCUUUUGUCGUGGUGGGAUCGAUGGCAACGUUGCCGGAAUUCUUUAAACAGGCGCAACAAGUUGGUCUUAUGACUAAUGACUAUCGUUAUAUCGUCGGCAAUUUAGACUUCCAAACCAUGGACUUGGAGCCCUUCCAACAUGGUGACACUAACAUAACUGGUAUACGUUUGGUCUCACCGGAUGCGAAGAUCGUGCAGGAGCUAGCAAAGACCUUAUACGAAACGGAAGAACCUUUUCAAAAUGUGUCAUGUCCCUUGACCACCAGUAUGGCAUUGGUGUACGACGGUGUGCAGUUACUGGCUGAGACAUUCAAACAUGUUAUGUUCCGUGCGGUGCCAUUAAAUUGUAACGACGCUAGCUCAUGGGACAAGGGAUACACGCUCGUCAACUACAUGAAAUCGUUAAGCUUAAAUGGACUCACCGGCGAAGUGAAAUUCGACUACGAAGGCUUGCGCACCGCUUUCGUACUGGACGUGAUUGAGUUGUCCAUGUCGGGCAUGCAGAAGAUAGGUGAAUGGAAAACGGAGGACGGGUUCUUCGCUAAUCGACCGCCACCAAAGAUAGUGGAGGUGGAUCAGCGUUCGUUGGUGAAUAAGAGCUUCGUGGUUAUAACGGCCAUAAGCGAACCGUACGGCAUGCUGAAGGAGACCGCUGCUAAAUUGGAGGGCAAUGAUCAGUUCGAAGGCUUUGGCAUUGAGUUAAUCGAGGAGCUGGGCAAGAAAUUGGGUUUCACCUACACUUUCCGUCUGCAAGUGGACAACAAAUACGGUUCGUUCAAUCCGAAAACGGGCAAAUACGAUGGCAUGAUGCUGGAAAUAAUCGAAGAACGAGCCGACAUGGGCAUUACGGACUUGACCAUGACAUCGAUACGUGAGGAAGGAGUAGAUUUCACUAUACCGUUCAUGAACUUAGGUAUCGCCAUUUUAUUUCGCAAGCCGAUGAAGGAGCCACCGAAACUCUUCUCUUUCAUGUCACCAUUUUCUGGCACUGUUUGGAUGUGGCUGGGCAUUGCCUACAUGAGUGUCUCACUCACGCUCUUCAUUUUGGGACGCAUCUCGCCAACGGAAUGGGAUAAUCCGUAUCCGUGCAUUGAAGAGCCUACGGAACUGGAGAACCAAUUUAGUUUCCCUAAUUGCUUGUGGUUCUCCAUCGGUGCACUGUUGCAACAAGGCUCUGAAUUAGCGCCAAAAGCAUACUCAACGCGCACUGUGGCCUCAAUUUGGUGGUUUUUCACGUUGAUUUUGGUCUCUUCGUACACCGCAAAUUUGGCUGCUUUUCUGACGAUAGAAUCGCUCAGCAGUCCCAUAGAGAAUGCCGAGGACUUGGCCAACAACAAGGGUGGUGUGAAAUAUGGCGCCAAAGUGGGUGGCAGCACGUUCACAUUCUUUCAGGAUGCUAAGUAUCCAACGUAUCAGAAAAUGUACGAGUUUAUGCGCGACCAUCCGGAAUAUAUGACCUCAACCAAUGCGGAAGGAGUGGAUCGCGUGGAAAAUGAGAAUUAUGCUUUUCUAAUGGAGUCAACCACCAUUGAAUAUAUCACCGAGCGACGUUGCAGUUUGACACAAGUCGGUUCACUGCUCGAUGAGAAGGGUUAUGGAAUUGCCAUGCGAAAGAAGACUUACCCGGGGACCAAAGAAAUGAUAUUCAAGCUUACUACAUCAAAACAAAACAAGUAAAUUGGUCUGAAUUUGAGAGUAACAAAAAUUAGUCUUCUAACUAAAUUCUUCAAACAGAUUGGCGGUAUUGAGGAGCAACCGCCCAAAAUAGCUGGAUUAAUGAUCCCGGAAAUGGGCUCGCAAGGUGUUUCACUUUGGCUAGAGAUGGUAGUGGAGAAGUAUAUUGUGGUGAUGUAGCUGGCAUCGGAAAGGUGGUUCCUGUAGCUGACUACUUCCUUCCUCUAUCGACCAGUUAUUUUGGGAACUUCCCGAGAACUAUGCUUUCACAAAUAUUUGUUUGGUUGAUGUCAAGGGACAUAAGGACAAGACGGAUAAUUGAUAAUUCAAGUAUUCACUAACAUUUUUUUUUAAAUUAAGCUUAUUAAAAAAAAAUUAAAAAACCAGUACAAAAACAUUUAAAUCUGGCAACACGUUCUAGAUUGGCCCUAUCGUGAUACGCUCAGUCAGGCUGUGCUAGAACUGCAGGAGCAAGGCGUUCUUACCAAAAUGAAAACAAAAUGGUGGAAAGAGAAACGUGGUGGCGGUGCAUGCUCGGUAAGUGUUCAGUUCUCAAACUAAUAAAGUUCCAGCUAAAAUAAACUAUGGAAAAUAACCAAAUUUUGUGGCAAGCAAAAUAAAGAGGCAAUGUUAAAAUGCUAUUAUUUCCGAAGGACACCAGCAGUGAAGGUGGCGCAGUGGCCUUAGAGCUAAGCAACUUAGGUGGCGUUUACUUGGUGUUGAUUGUAGGCUCUUUCUUUGGUGUGCUGGUGGCAUUCCUUGAAAUGGUAUUGGGUGUGAAAGAACGCUCCGAUGAGAAUAAGGUAGACAGAAUAAAGAAAGCUGAGAAUCGAUAUUUGUGAAUUUAUUAUAAAUAUGCUCCAAUGCUUUUAAGUCCUCAAACAGCAUUUACAUACACUACAUAGACGAAUGCACACGAAUCGAGCAUUUUUGCAGAGUUAUUUGCAUAGUGUUUUUUUGUUUUUUUUUUUUUGUUUUUUGGUAGCGUUCAAAGCUUCAUCUUUAGUUGUAGCAGACGUAGCUUUUAGUAUAUUUAGUUUGUGUGGACCAGGCACUGCUUGUAGUACAUUUUAUUUGAAGCACUAAACAUAAAUUCUAUUUUAUAGCAUUUCUAGUUCUUUCUUUAUUAUUUUACUAUAUUUUUUAUUUCACUCUACUUUUUCACUCUCAUGUUUCAAUUUAAGUUUAUUUUCGUUUUUCCACCAUUUUAUUUAUUGCUUUCUCCAACGCAUUCUGGCGAAAUUUGUUGAAAACAAAUACAAACCAUCAAACAAUUUCCCCCCCCCUUCAAUGCAAUUGAUGUAUCGAAAAUGUAAUAUAAAUUCACAACAAAAACAAAAUCACCAAAAACGACAUGCUUCCAUUUUUCCUCUGCUCUGGCGUGGACACUCGAUACUUUCUCUCCAUUUGCGUUUACCAAACACCAACAAACAUAUAUACGUAUGUACACACCGCAACAACCAUGUCUUGCCCGCCUACCAACGCGCCAUCCGAUCGUCAUUAUGCAUCCGUCCAUGCAAUCGCCAUCACUGAACCAUGCAACUAAAUAAUCAACCAACCUGAACAACAACCCAACCAUUCGAACACGCGCCCACUCGGCGGUGCGUCUGCAGCAAGAGGGAGCGAACGAUGGCGCCGAGGAGUUGGGUAUUGCCAAUUUGGGUGGAGUGUUUUUUGUGUUAUGCGUUGGCAGUGUGUUUGCCAGCGUAUACGGCUUACUGGAGUGGCUUCGUUAUGUUUAUGGAACAGCGCGUCGCAACAAGGUGUCCUUCAAGACCGAACUCAUCGAGGAGUUCCGCUUCGUUAUGCAAUGCUCCGGUAACACAAGACCCGUCAAAUAU